AACUGGAUAUCUUAGUGGUCAAAGGCAGCACUUCUAAUGAUGAGGUCCCAGGUUCGAAUCCUGGUCUAGUCA
rnacentral:tRNA from 1 species